UCGAACGAUGAACUUGGAGCUUGCUCUGGGGGAUUAGUGGCGAACGGGUGAGUAACACGUGAGUAACCUGCCCUGGACUCUGGGAUAAGCGUUGGAAACGACGUCUAAUACCGGAUAGGACCUCUGACCGCAUGGUCGGGGGUGGAAAGUUUUUUCGGUCUGGGAUGGACUCGCGGCCUAUCAGCUUGUUGGUGAGGUAAUGGCUCACCAAGGCGUCGACGGGUAGCCGGCCUGAGAGGGUGACCGGCCACACUGGGACUGAGACACGGCCCAGACUCCUACGGGAGGCAGCAGUGGGGAAUAUUGCACAAUGGGCGAAAGCCUGAUGCAGCAACGCCGCGUGCGGGAUGACGGCCUUCGGGUUGUAAACCGCUUUUAGUAGGGAAGAAGGGCUUCGGCUUGACGGUACCUGCAGAAAAAGGACCGGCUAACUACGUGCCAGCAGCCGCGGUAAUACGUAGGGUCCGAGCGUUGUCCGGAAUUAUUGGGCGUAAAGAGCUCGUAGGCGGUUUGUCGCGUCUGCUGUGAAAACUGGAGGCUCAACCUCCAGCCUGCAGUGGGUACGGGCAGACUAGAGUGCGGUAGGGGAGAAUGGAAUUCCUGGUGUAGCGGUGGAAUGCGCAGAUAUCAGGAGGAACACCGAUGGCGAAGGCAGUUCUCUGGGCCGUAACUGACGCUGAGGAGCGAAAGCGUGGGGAGCGAACAGGAUUAGAUACCCUGGUAGUCCACGCCGUAAACGUUGGGCGCUAGAUGUGGGGACCUUUCCACGGUUUCCGUGUCGUAGCUAACGCAUUAAGCGCCCCGCCUGGGGAGUACGGCCGCAAGGCUAAAACUCAAAGGAAUUGACGGGGGCCCGCACAAGCGGCGGAGCAUGCGGAUUAAUUCGAUGCAACGCGAAGAACCUUACCAAGGCUUGACAUGACCGAGAACGCCCUAGAAAUAGGGAACUCUUUGGACACUCGGUUACAGGUGGUGCAUGGUUGUCGUCAGCUCGUGUCGUGAGAUGUUGGGUUAAGUCCCGCAACGAGCGCAACCCUCGUCGCAUGUUGCCAGCACGUAAUGGUGGGAACUCAUGUGAGACUGCCGGGGUCAACUCGGAGGAAGGUGGGGAUGACGUCAAAUCAUCAUGCCCCUUAUGUCUUGGGCUUCACGCAUGCUACAAUGGCCGGUACAAAGGGCUGCGAUGUCGUAAGGCGGAGCGAAUCCCAAAAAGCCGGUCUCAGUUCGGAUUGAGGUCUGCAACUCGACCUCAUGAAGUCGGAGUCGCUAGUAAUCGCAGAUCAGCAACGCUGCGGUGAAUACGUUCCCGGGCCUUGUACACACCGCCCGUCAAGUCAUGAAAGUCGGUAACACCCGAAGCCGGUGGCCUAACCCUUGCGGAGGGACCAC
rnacentral:rRNA from 1 species